rnacentral:lncRNA from 1 species
CCACAAACAGUGCCUUUAAAAAGGAUAUGAAAAUCAGUCUUUUACAUGCAAUCCCACCUUGAAAUCCUCUAGCAAAUAAAGAAAAAAAAAGAAGCUCAGUAGCAGAAUGAAGAAAGCUGAGCUGGUCUUCAUACCAACACCAGGUAUAAGCCACCUCCUAUCCACAGUAGAGGUAGCAAAGCUUCUUGUAGACCGUGAUGAGAGGCUUUCAAUCACUUUCCUCAUCAUGAAACUAAGUUCUGACCCCAAGAUUGAUAGGUUUAUAAAUUCAGUGAGUACAGCCUGUAAUCGUAUCCGCUUCAUUGACUUGCCUAAAGAUGAGCCUGAUCCAAACCAACCCAACAUGUUCUUCUUUUCUUUGAUUGAAGCCCAGAAACACCAUGUCAAAGAUGAAGUCUCUAAGCUUGUGUGUCAGUCCGAGUCAAGCCCUGACUCGCCUACACUUUCUGGGUUUGUUCUCGAUAUGUUUUGUACACCAAUGAUAGAUGUGGCGAAUGAAUUUGGUGUUCCCUCAUAUAUUUUCCUUACGUCAGGUGCAGCUUCUCUUGGCCUUCAAUUUUAUGUUCAGGCUCUUCACGAUGAGCAGAAAGUUGACCCUACUGAGUUCAAGGGCUCGGAUGCUGAGUUGGUCAUGCCGUGUUUGGCAAAUCCUCUUCCAGCAAAGGUCUUGCCUUCUCCUAUGCUUAACAAAGAGCGGCUGCCAUUUUUCCUCGGUCUAGCUAGAAGGUUUAGAGAAACUAAGGGUAUUAUAAUAAACACAUUUGAAGAGCUCGAAUCUCAUGCGAUCGACUCCUUUUCUAAAGGUAAUACCCCUCCGGUAUACCCAGUGGGUCCCGUCUUAAACCUUAAUAGAGAUGGUGAUCGUGAUGAGGAGUCUGAUAAACGCAAAGACAUCAAGCAAUGGCUUGAUGAUCAGCCCCUAUCCUCAGUGGUGUAUCUAUGCUUCGGGAGCAUGGGGAGUUUCGGAGUGGAUCAGGUGAAGGAAAUUGCAUGUGGGCUAGAGCAGAGUGGGCAUCGAUUCUUGUGGUCUCUACGUAAACCACCACCGAAAGGCAAGAUGGAACUUCAUCCAAGCGAUUACAGUAAUCCUCGGGAUGUCUUACCUGAAGGGUUUUUUGAUCGGACGGCUAACAUUGGAAAAAUAAUUGGAUGGGCUCCACAGACAGAUAUUUUGGCCCAUCCUUCCGUAGGAGGGUUUGUAUCGCACUGUGGAUGGAACUCUAUAUUGGAAAGCAUAUGGUUUGGCGUUCCAAUUGCCGCGUGGCCAUUAUAUGCAGAGCAACAAUUUAAUGCUUUUAUGUUAAUUGUUGAGUUAGGGUUUGGAGUGGAGAUUAAAAUGGAUUAUAAAAGCGAAUUUCACUCGGAUGGUAAUGAAAAUGUCAUUAGUGCCGGGGAAAUAGAGAGAGGAGUAAGGUGUUUAAUGGAGCUUUGCGAUGAGAAGAGGGAGAAGUUGAAGGAGAUGAGUGGAAAGGGCAGGAAGGCUUUGGAGAUCGGUGGAUCCUCGUUCACUUGGUUAGGUCGUUUCAUUCAAGAUUUGGCGUACCACCUACCAUGAUUAAAUUGUACUCUCUUCGUGUUAUUUAAUACAAAGUCUCUUACUUGAUAUGUUGUCUUUCUUUAAUAUAUAUGUAUUUCUCUGGCCGUCUUCAUUAUUAUUAGUUCUCGAUCUCGUUAUCGAUUUGGAAACUGAUAUUAAAGAAGCUAGAGGUCAUUAGUUGAUUCUAUAAUAAUUAUUUUUAGUAAAAUAGUAAUUUUUCUUCUAUUGAUUUGACGAGAGUCGAACGGAUUUGAUUGAUUUAAUAUUUUAACUGAUUUAACUAAAAACUUUAAAUGUCAAAUUUAUUGAAAUCAGAGUUUUACCAUGCACAGAAAAAUGAUUUGUACAUUGAAAUUUUCACUUUAGCCUUAUUAAGAAAAAACUCAAUGAACUUCAUUUUAAGGAUAAAAAGUUCUUUUUUAUCAGGAUUCAUUUAUCAUAGUUUAAAUGGUUAGGGAUAAAAAAAAGUUUUUUUUAUGUAUAGUAAAAUAAUUUAAAUAUCCUUAAAAAAUAUUAAACUUAUAUAUAGUAGUGGUUUAGUUUUUUUAAUUUUUUAGUACAGUAAAAUAAUUUCAGUAUUUUUAAAAGCAAAAAUGACUAAACUGCUUUCCAGGUUUUAUGUUUUAAUUUCGUUAAAAAAAAUUAAUAUUCAAGUUUGUUUAGGAGUGGUUUUGUAUUUUGAUAAAUAUAUAAUAUUAUUAAAAAACAUUGAUGCUGAACUAGGAUUAAUCCAUGCAUACAAAUUAAAUCAAAUACAAAAGAAAUUUCAUAAAGGAUAAUAAAAUUGUGGUUGUUGAUGAUACAAAGAAGAUGUUUAAAAGUAUUGUGGUAGUUGUUUUUAAUUCAAAAUAUAUUUUUGUUCAUAAAUAUAUAAAAAUAUAUAUAUUUUUUAUUUUAAAAAAUUAUUUUGACACUAGUAUAUUAAAACAACUUGAAAAUAUAUAAAAAAAUAAUUUAAAAUAAUUUUUUUUAAUUUAAUAAAAAACAGAUUGAAAUGUAGAUGUAACAUAUUAUCCUACAGUGAUACGAGAAAGAAGAUGAAAGAGACCAGUAAAACAAGUCGAAAAGCUUUGACGGAUGAAGGAUCUUCAUAUUCGUCAUUUCGUCUAAUUGAAGACAUGAUGGAUAAUACACAUUCAAUAAAUCCUCUAUAACUUUAUUCCUUACUUAGCAUUGAUUUAAAAUGAAACAAAUAUUCACAUACAAGAUCAUACGAACAACAUACUGGAUUUGUUGGACUCAACCAAAAAUUGCUUGAUCAAAAUAGAGCAGCAUCGACGCAUGAUGGUCACGUGCUGACAUAUUAGAAUUCAAUCUUUUCACAUUAUCAGAUACUUGUUUAAAAUAUACUCGCUUGUAUUAUUAACUAGUAUUUCAUUAUUAAAAAAACUAUAUAUCAAAAAUAAAUUUAUAGUAAUGCAUCAAGCUAGAUAAUUUGAAUAAGAUCCCAUUGACAAUAACUUGAUUUAGAUAUACUAAUUGAAAAAACUUACCCACGAUUUUACAGUCCAUUGAUUAGGUUACAAGUUUAUUUUUUCCAACAGCUCCGUUGUACUGUUUUUGUAAGCAUCUAUGGGCUAGUAGCCAUCGAAAUUCUUAAUUUAAAUGCAUGCAUAUAGUUCAUUUCCAGCUGCAAAGCCAUGACAUCACUCUUUAUAGUCUAACCUUCAAUAUAUAUUUCGUUCAAGAUCAUGAUCAACUUCCACGCAUCCCAAGUAGACCACCGUUGUUCUCAACAAGAAACAAAAAUUUCCAGCAAAGAAUGAAGAAAGCAGAGGUGGUGCUAAUCCCCUUACCUGCUAUGGGCCAUAUUGUAGCAGUAGUGGAGAUGUAAUGCAUCCAACUGUUGAUCCCAGCACUACCAAGUACAAUGAGUCACUUGCUGCAUCAACUCUCCCUGAUCGUAUGCGAGUCAUUAACUUGCCCAGAGUUGAGUCCAUAACAUCAGAUACUAAACCCAGUACCUGGCUUAGUUCUUUGGUUGAAGGCCAAAAACCCCAUGUCAAAGAAUAUGUUUCAAGGAUAAGAACACAAUACGAGAUGAAUCCGGACUCCCCUCGUCUUGCUGGGUUCGUUUUUGAUACGUUUGCUACUGGCCUGAAAGAUGUGUCUAAUGAAUUUGGAAUUCCAUGGUAUGUUUUUUCUGCUGCAGGUGCAGCUUUUAUUGGUAGCAUGCUCCAUCUUACGGCUCUUCAUGAUGAGCAGGGAGUGGACAUUACAGAAAUCACGAACUCGGAGGAUGAAUUGGAAAUUCCGAGUUUGGCGAACCCAAUCCCUGCUAAACUUGUGCCUUCCACGGUGUUCGAGAAAUACUCGCUCACAACUUUUCUUGUACAUGCUCGGCUAUUGACCGAAGCUAAGGGCAUAUUGAUAAAUACAUUUUUGGAGUUGGAAUCUUACGCAGUUAAUUCUCUAUCCCAUGGUAAAACCCCUCCUGUAUACCCGGUUGGUCCCAUUGUGAAACAUAGUGGAGUUGGUUCUGAUCCGCUCUCGGAUGAGAGCAACAAUUCUAGGGACAUCAUGGGAUGGCUUGAUGAUCAACCUCCGUACGUCAUCCGUUAUGUUUUUACGCUUUGGAAGUUGGGGAAGUUUUAAAGAGAACCAGGUGAAAGAGAUUGCAUUUGCACUUGAGCGUAGUGGGCAUCGGUUCUUAUGGUCUCUACGCAAACCUUCACAGAACGGUAAAAUGAAAUCUCCCAGUGAAUAUGAAAAUUUUCAAAGCAUUUUACCCCAAGGUUUCUUAGACCGAACGGCUAAGAUUGGGAAGGUAAUUGGAUGGGCUCCACAAGUGGAAAUCUUGUCUCAUUCAGCUGUGCUUCACAUUGUGGAUGGAAUUCUGUACUGGAGAGUUUAAGAUUUGGUGUUCCCAUUGCCACUUGGCCUUUAUAUGCAGAGCAACGAUUUAAUGCUUUUCAAAAGGUGAUUGAGGUAGGAUUAGCUUUCGAAAUUAAAAUAGAUUAUAGAAAGGAUUUUUAUGGUGAUACUGAAAUAAUUGUGAGCAGUGAUGAUAUAUUGAAAGCUAUAAAGAAUGUUAUGGAACAAGAUAGUGAAAUUAGAAAGAAGGUAAAGGAGAUGAGUAGAAUAAGUGAAAAAACCUUGGUGGCUGGAGGAUCUUCAUUUUCUUCACUAGGUCGUCUAAUUGAAGAUAUGGUGGAAAACAUGUCAUGAAUCAAUUGUUUUGAACUUUCCUCUAAGCAAUCUCUAAAAAAAAAAGGAAUAGUUUUCCAUUUUUUUUGCCUAUGAUUCUUUUUAAUUAUAACAAUUUAUGUAUUAAGAAUGAUUGUCAUGGUCAAUAAAUUUGAUCUUUGAACUUUGCAUUUUCUUUAGAAAAACUGUUUUUUUAUCUGUUUUGUUUGCAUUUAAAAAAAAUUCACAAAUAUUUAAUUACAACCAAAUUGAUGAAAAUGUGUGCAAAUACAACCUAUUUGACAACUCCCAUUAGCUACAAUCACUUGAAUAAGGUAUUGUUUGAUAAAAUGAUUGAAGUUCUUUUAAAGUUUGGAAGUUUGGAUGUUUUUAAUAUAAAAAUAUUGAAAAAUCACUUAAUGUUUUUUAAAUUACAGAAAAAACACACACAUUACAUUACUAAACAAUGCACACACCCAAUAAUAAAUAACAAUGAUGUGAGAUUAAUAAUAAAGUUUUAAUAAAUAAACACGUAUUUAUACUAUAGAGAUUUGAGUAGAAUAAAAGAGUGGUCAAGGUCCAAAUAUAAGAUUUUUGUAGAAGUUCCCUUUUAUAAUUUUAAAGUUAUUAUUUCAAAGUAUUAAUGUGUAGGAGCUUUUUGAGAAAAAUAAAUAUAUAUUUUUUGUUAUUUUUAUUUUUUAGUUUAAAAUUUAUUUAUUUUUAUUUUAUUUUUAUUUUCAAUAUUAUUAUGCUUUUCUAGUUUUUAUAUUUUAAAAUAAUAUUUCUUUAUUUUUAUUUUUCUAUUCUAGGGAUUUUCUAGUUUUUUAUAUUGGUCCAUCUAUAAUAUGUACUUUAUCUAAUCCGACUCAACCUGUCGAAGUCAAAUAAUGUGGAUAAUAUGGAUGAUAAUUAGUCAAAAAAUCUAAGAAAUAGAUAUCACAUGUCAAGAUUUUUAAAACCCAAUAAACUUCACCCAACUUGUAUACUCCUUUUGUUUUUAUAUUUGAUAAUUUUUUGAUUGAUUAUUUAUUUAUUUAUUUCUAUUUAGAAAUGUUCCGGUUCUAAAAUUAUCAAGUUAUCGUUAUGUUUUUUUACUAGAGGGGAAGAGUGAGGUAACUAAAAUUUAAUGGUGGGACAAUAUAUGAAAAUUAGAUUUAAAAUUAGAGGUGCUAUGAGACCUUUAAUCUUGGUUGUAAGUUCAUCUCUAACUGCAAACCUAUAAAAAUUAAUAAUAUAAGCCUAACAUGUGAAUAUUUAUAAUAUUUACAAAAAAACAAAUUUAGCCCAACCCUCUUAAUUCCAAAAACAAAUUCAAUUACUCGAAUUUAAAAUUUGUAAAGUAUUAAAAAUUAGAUGAAAUUUAAUUAUAAACUUAAACUUGACCGGCUAUAUCUAUCUAUGAAGAUACUAUCUUUUUUUUCUUAUAAUAGUAUAAUAUUUUUCAACCUUUGGUUCGGCUUGCCAAGCAUGACCGAAAGACUAAAGUAUUGAAACGAUACAUCAGAAGCAAAUUCAGCCUCCCAAGACUCAAAUGCCAAUCUGAAUGCGAGAUGAAAGUAGCUACGUGAAUGUGGUAACCCUUCAGAAUCACAAAGUUAUUGAUCAAGAAGACAAAAAGCAAAAACAUGCCGCCCCUAACCUCUCAAAACCUAAAAAACCGAUCCCCCCAAACCCUAAGCCUAGACUCCAUUACACCUCACAUACCACCCUCCUCACUAACCGUGCCCUCUACAAUAACCGUGCAACUGCUUCUACUUUGCCUACCAUCAUCCCUUCUGCAAAAAUCCCAACAAACAAACAUCUCGAAUACUUAUCAUAAUGUGAGGAUAGCCUCCCAGGACCAUCAUAAUACAAGGACCACACCUUCAAGAAUAAUGAAUAGAGUAAGUUAAGACCACAGUUAUUAAAUCUGGACCGGACCAGCAGGUCGACCGGAGACCCGAUCGACCCGGUGGUUGGACCGGCCCAGGUAAAACAAAAAAUUAUCUAGUACAAAAACCCGGCUAGACCCGGUCGACCCGGCCAAACCCGGAGAAGACCCGGUCUUGUUUAUUUUAUUUUUUUAACCUGUCUUGAAGGUUCGCAUAUACCAUGCCAUUCUACUCUGGCUAUAAAUACAUUUCCGUAAUUUAUGGAAUACUUUGCAUGAGUCUCAAAACUCUCAUCACUCACAUGUUACAUUGGAAAUGAUUUUUGUUUCCUUUUCUUGUCUUCCCCUUCCUUCAACUCACUCGGAGUGAUUACUAUUAAAAAAAGAACUUGAAAUAUUUUUUUAUUUAUUUUGGGUAACAUGUCUUAAAAAUUAUGAAAAAUGAGUAAUUUUUCAAGUAAUUCUGGUUUUAUUAAAAGAAUUCAAUGCUACCUGAAUUAUAUUAUAUAUUAUCUUUUUUAUUUUUUUAAAAAAAAUUAUUUUUAUUUUAAAAAAUAUUAAAAAUAUAUUUUAUUUUUUCAAUAUAGAAUUUACAAUCCUUUAAUAUAUAUAUUCUAUGUUAAAAAAAAAUAUUUUUUCGAUAUGAGAUUUGAAAUCUUUUCGUAUAUAUAUUCUAUGUUUACAAGAAAAAAAGUUAAGUUUUUUUUAAAUGGGAUAAAAAAAUUUUAUUUAAAUACUUCAACUUAAAAGGAUAAUAUAAUAUCUUUUCAGUAUAAAAUUUGAAACCCUUUAAUAUAUAUACUCUAUGUUCACAAGAAAUAAAUCAUUUUUUCAAUAUGGAAUUUGAAACUUUUCAAUAUAUAUACUCUAUGUUCAUAAAAAAUAAAUUAUAUUUUUUCAAUGUAGAAUAAUUUUUUUUUAAUUUAAAUACUUCAACUUAAAAGGAUAACAUAGUAUCUUUUCAAUGUAGGAUAAACAACUUUUUAAAAUAUUCUUUUAAACUUCAUUAUUUACAUUAUAAAAAUUUAUAAUUAUUUACAUGUAUGGUCUAUAUUCACAUGAGUUGUUUCUUAAUUUUUUUUCAUAUGAAAUAUUAAAAUUUUAAAUAUAUUUUUAAAAUUUUUCAGGUUAAUCCAGGUUGACCAGGGUUGACCCGAGUUGACCCAUGAAACCCGGGACCCGGUCCCUUGACCGGGUCAACCCCCAAGUCGGGUUUGAUAACUAUGGUUAAGACCAUAGUUUUCAGACCCGGUCUAGUGGCCGGUCCGGUCCAAGGCUCGGGUUCCAGGUUUUGACCGGGUCAUCGGGUUUUGACCGGGUCACCGAGUUGCCCGGGUCAAAUUUUUUUUAAAAUCAAAACGACAUUGUUUUAGUAAAAAAACAAAAGUUAACGGAUUGCAAUCGAGUUUUUGACCGGGUCAACCGGGUUUUUGACUAGAUCAUACCGAGUUUUUCCUUUUCUUAUUUUUUUAACUCGGUCCGGUUCAGUUCUAGACCAGUCAAAUCCUGGAUCGACCCGUGAAUCUGGACCGCAUUUUAAAACUAUGGAUAAGACUGUCCUUAGUCAUUGUCAAGAAAUAAAUAUAUCGAAAGAGACCGCAAUUAUUGGAUUGAUGAUGGACCACUGUUAGCCAGACUUUUCCCUUCCAAGAUUCCGAUAACAAAGUCACGUAAUUUUUUUCUUCUGCAUUAUCAAAAACUUGUUUAAAAUAUAAAUUUGUUUCUUGUGUUAAUAUCUUGUAUUUCAAUAUUUAAAAAAUGUACAAAUAUACAUUUUUAUGAUUUUAUUGGGCAAGAUAACCUCAUCAAGACCCAUUGAAAAUAAAUUAAUAUUAUUGUACUAAUUGAAUAAGCAUGCCCACGAUUUUCAAACCUAAUAAAGCUGAUAUCAAUUACAAGCUUUUUUUUUCAACCAUAGUUAAAGUUAGCUUGGUCUCACAAAUUUACUUUAAAAACUUAAAAUUUGAUCACCGUUGGUUUUUUUAAUUGAAUCGAACUAGAUAUUUGAUCACCGUUAGUCUUGCAAAUUUAGAUUUUUUCCCAAAUCAAAUGUGAUAACUACUAUUUUUGUGAACACCUAUGGAUUAGUGGCCGUAGAUGUUCUUAAAUUAAAUGCAUGUAUAUAGUUAGCGGCCAGCAAAGCCAUGACAUCACUCUAAUUCUAGAUCUUCAAGAUUUAUAUUUCAAACAAGAUCAUGAUGACUUCCACACAUCCCAAGCAGACCGCAGUUGUUCACAACAAGAAACACAAAUUUCUAGCAAAGAAUGAAGAAAGCAGAGGUGGUGCUAAUCCCCAUACCUGCUAUGGGCCAUAUUGUAGCAGUAGUGGAGAUAGCUAAGCUUCUUGUUCAACGUGAUGAUCGACUCUACACAACUGUGUUGGUAAUGCAUCCAACUCUUGACCCCAGCACUACCAAGUACAAUGAGUCACUUGCUGCAUCAACUCUCCCUGAUCGUAUGCGAGUCAUUAACUUGCCCAGAGUUGAGUCCAUAACGUCAGAUACUAAAGCCAAUAACUGGCUUAGUACUUUGAUUGAAGGCCAAAAACCCCAUGUCAAAGAAUAUGUUUCAAAGACGAGAACUCAAUUUGAGUUGAGCCUCGAUGCUCCUCGAAUUGCUGGGUUUAUUUUUGAUUCGUUUGCUACAGGACUGAAAGAAGUGGCCAAUGAAUUUGGGUUUCCAUGGUAUGCUUUCUCUGCUCCAGGUGCAGCUUUUCUUGGUUGUGAAUUGCAUCUUCAGGCUCUUCAUGAUGAGCAGGGAGUGGACCUUACUGAGUUCAAGAACUCGGACGUUGAGUUGAAAAUUCCGAGUUUAGCGAACCCGCUUCCUGCUAAACUUUUGCCUUCGGUUUUGUUUCAGAAAGAUUCGCUCGCUAAUUUCCUUGAGCAAGCAAGAGCAUUGGCUGAAGCCAGAGGUAUUUUGGUUAAUACAUUUUUCGAGUUUGAAUCCAAUGCGGUUAACUCUCUUUCAAAUGGUAAAACCCCUCCAAUAUAUCCGGUGGGACCGAUUGUUAAACAUGAAACAGACUGUCAUGAUGUGGGUUGGGAUGGGAGCAAGAAGCACAGAGACAGAGACAUCAUGGAAUGGCUUGAUGAUCAGCCUCCAUCAUCAGUUAUGUUUUUGUGCUUUGGAAGUCAUGGAAGUUUUAGGGAGAAACAGGUGAAAGAGAUUGCCUGUGCACUAGAGAAUAGUGGGCAUCGAUUCUUAUGGUCGCUACGUAAACCUCCACCGAGAGAAAAGUGGGAACCCCCUAGUGAUUAUGCAAAUUUUCAAGAAAUCUUACCGAAAGAGUUUUUAAACCGGACAGCUAAGAUUGGGAAAGUAAUCGGAUGGGCACCUCAGGUUGACAUAUUGGCUCAUCAAGCGAUAGGAAUGUUUGCUUCGCAUUGUGGAUGGAAUUCUAUACUAGAAAGUAUAAGGUUUGGUGUUCCAAUUGUCGCCUGGCCAUUAUAUGCAGAGCAACAGUUCAAUGCCUUUCAAAUGGUAAUUGAGUUGGGAUUAGCCGUGGAAAUUAAAAUGGAUUACAGGAGGGAUUUUCAUGGUGAUAAUGAAAUAAUUGUGGGUGCUGAUGGUAUAAUGAAAGCAAUAAAGCAUGUUAUGGAGCAAGGUAAAGAAAUAAGAAAGAAGGCAAAAGAGAUGAGCAGAAUAAGUGAGAAAACCUUGAUGCCUGGUGGAUGUUCGUAUUCUUCUUUGGGUCGUUUAGUUGAUGAUAUAAUAGACAACCAGCCAUGAAGCAACUGUUCCAACUAUGCUCUAAGUUUUUGCUUCAAAUAAGCUACUAUUUGUCAUUUUUUUUAGGAGAAAAAUAUUUUUUAUGUACUCUUGUUUUGUAUAAAAAAAAAAAUACAAUUGAUGAGGUUCUAAAUCCACAUAAGCAUAUGAACUUCUAACCUAGAGGUGAGGUGACUGAUUACUCUGUUGGUAUGUGUUUGAAAGGGUUGUGGACCUGCAAAACAGGUCCUUCUACGGGUGGUGUGGGUUCCCAUGUGUGUGAGUUGUGGAAAAGUGGUGCGUGUGUUGAGGUUGAAAAAGAAAGGGUUGUCUGUCGCGAGAUUGGAAUCUUUUAUUUAAGAGUUUAUUAUGAACAUUUUAUAUAUCCAACUUCCAUAGGACUGAAGAUAGAAUGAGAAAAACUUUGAUGAAUCUAUCAUUAGAGAUCAUCAUUUAAGAUUAUAGACUGUAAUGUAUUUUAUGGGACAAAGCCGUUUAGGCCGAGUACUCCCCGAGGCAGUGCAGAUCAUUACAGCAAAUUUAUGUGAAAGCGGAUGGUCAUUACAGCAACUGAUAAUUCCCACUAGCUUCGAUCACUUGAACAUGACAGUAGAUGAAGUUUCACGGCAAAGGGUACCAAAUGGAUCAAAUUUGGCACACAUUUAAGUCAAAUUGGAUGCAAUUGGCCAGAAAGGAACUCGAAGGUCUGAGUUAAUUUUCAGAUAUAAAUAUAUAAUGAUCUUCGGAUCAGUACUGUUGACUGCAUUCAAAAUUAUACAAAUACAAAAGACAACGCUAUAAUUGGCUAGCAUGAGUUUUUAAUGAGUCUUUUGAUUAUUAUAAAAAGAAAAGAAAAGGAAAGAAAGAAAGGAGCACACCCUCACAACCAAUAUCAUGCCAGUCUUCUUAGAUUUUAAAAGCUAAGAUUUAUUUUCUCUUACGGUGGCUUGGUUUGGUAUAGAAUUCGUAUAGAAUAGACAAAUAAUCAAACAUGGCCAGUAAUUAUCAUGACUAAUGAGUUGGACUAUUGUGACAAAUGAUCCUUCUAGCUAGAGUGUUUUUCUAGAAGGCGUGUGUUGUUUCUCUCGGACAUCCAUGACGGCCGGUUAUGAUACAAAAACUUCCAAGUAGACGUUAAAAUAAUUUGGUGGAAAAAUAUGUAAAAUUCAAUAUCAAGAAAUCUCAACAUUCAUUUUGAAGUUUCUCUGUAUUAAUUCUAACUUUUCAACUUAAUUUAAUUGGGUUGAAAAGUCCAUCCAUCACACAAUAAAAUAUAUUUGUUAAAGAAUAAUUGCAUGACAAAAGUCAUGGUUUAAGCAUAGAAUAUAAACUUCUUUAGCAACAGGAAAUGAGAAAUCAGAGGUGGUGUUUAUCACUCCACUUAAUGGAGAAAGCUAAGAUUUUUGUUCAAUGUCUUAAUAAUGCAUCCAACUCUUGCCUAAAGUGCUGCCAAAUACAACGGGUCACUUUCGACAGCAAUUCUGCCCACCGUGAGUUGAAACUUCUCAGCCAUCGAAGUCAUGACACAUAAAUCUAAAUUUUGGCCUCCAAUAUGAUAUUUGAAACAAGACCUGCAGCCACAUAUAUUCUAUCAAUCAAUAGUUCAGCUUCAUUUUCUAGUAAAAUAUUUGACUAUAUAUAAUUAUAUGUCCGGAAAUCAUUCAAACAAAGCAUGAACAAUAGCUUAGCAACAAAAUAUUUUUUAGGAAUGAAGAAAGUAGAGGUUGUGUUCAUCCCUUUACCUGCCAUGGGCCAUAUUAUAGCAGCGGUAGAGAUGGCUAAGCUUAUUGUUGAAAGUGAUGAUCGAAUUUCCGCAAGUGUCCUCAUGAUGAAGCCAGCUCUUGACUCCACCACCACAAAAUACACUGAGUCACUCACUGCAUCAACUCUACCCAAUCGCAUGCGAGUCGUUGACUUGCCCAGUCUUGAGCACACCGGUGUGCACAACACUAGUGCUAGCUGGAUGGCUUCUUUGGCUGAAGCCCAAAAACCCCAUGUCAAAGAAUUUGUUUCCAAGAUCAAGGCUCAGUCAGAGUUGAGCCCUCAUGACUCUCCUCAACUUGCUGGGUUUGUUUUGGAUACUUUUGUUUUGGGAAUGAAUGAUUUGGCUGCAGAAUUUGGUGUUCCCUGGUAUGUUUUCUCGGCUUCAGGUGCAGCUUUUAUCGGCUCGAUGUUGUAUCUUCAGGCCCUUCAUGAUGAGCAGAAAGCGGAUCUCCCUGAGUACAAAGACUCGGAUGCUGAGUUGGAAAUUCCAAGCUUGGUGAACAGGCUUCCUGCUAAGCUCCUGCCUUCUAUGGUGUUUAAAAGAGAAUCUCUCCCUCAUUUUAUUGGUGCUGCAAGAAGGUUGAAGCACGCAAGGGGCAUUUUGAUAAAUACAUUCAAAGAGUUAGAAUCACAUGCAAUCAACUCUCUUUCUAAUGGUGAAAUCCCUCCUGUAUAUCCGUUGGGACCAAUUGUGAGAUGUAAAGGAAAUAGCUAUGAUGUGGGUUCAAAUAUUAUCAACGACUACACGGACAUAAUGCAAUGGCUUGAUGAUCAGCCUCCGUGCUCGGUAGUGUUUUUGUGCUUCGGGAGUUGGGGAAGUUUCAGCGUUGGUCAAGUGAAAGAGAUUGCAUAUGCAUUGGAGCAAUGUGGACAUCGAUUCUUGUGGUGUCUGCGUAAACCUCCAUGCAAGGGUAAGAUUGAAUCACCAAGUGAUUAUGUAAAUUUUCAAGAAAUCUUGCCUGAAGGGUUUUUAGAUAGAUCAGAUAAGAUAGGAAAGGUGAUUAAAUGGGCUCCGCAAGUGGAAAUCUUGGGGCACAAAGCUGUUGGAGGAUUUGUAUCACAUUGUGGAUGGAAUUCUACCUUAGAAAGUAUUUUGUCUGGUGUCCCAAUGGCAACAUGGCCAUUGUAUGGAGAGCAACAAUUUAAUGCUUUUGAAAUGGUAAUUGAGCUAGGGCUAGCAGUGGAGAUUAAAAUAGAUUCUAGAAGGGAUUUUUCUAAAGAUGGUAUAAUUGUGAGUUCUGAUGAUAUAAAAAGAGGAUUAAAGUUAGUAAUGGAGCCUGAUAACGAGAUUAGAAAAAAGGUGAAAGAGAUGAGUCAACUAAGCAGGAAAGCUUUAAUGGAAGAUGGGUCGUCAUACUCUGCAUUGGCUCAUCUGAUUGAAGAUAUUAUGGGCAACUAUAAGUAGCAUUGUAAAUCUAAGUACCGAAAUUGUAAUAAGAUAAUAAAUAAAAGUUCAAAUUACUUUAAAUAUAGUGGAUCAUCCCUUGGCAUUAAUUUGGUUUAGUUAUCUAAAUUAAUAAUAAUAUUUUUCCAUCCGUUUGGUUGGAAUUUUUCCAGUCAUUUGGGCUUUUAGCUCAAAAUUAUAGUUUGGGCGGCUGGAAUUUUCAACUGGACAACUAAUAUUGAUCCGGUCUGUUUAAUUCUGACUUAGCACACCUUUUAUAUAUAUAAUUACUUAUAAGCAUACGCAAGGUUUUUUGUAUGCAGAGCAAACACCAUUAUAUAUGCUGAUGACACUAUGUAUUACCAGCAUUUUUUUUUUGUUUUAACGUGGGUAUCCGGGCCAGCUUGCGCGCACCUCGACUAAUCCCACAGGCCCUGAAGUUAACGACCAUGUAAGCCUCCAGUGGCCAUCAUAUGAGCAACCACAGGGCUCGAACCUGAGACCACAGAGGGAGCAAACCUCUUGGUCCCAAACUCUUACCACUAGGCGUAUUACCAGCAUUUUUAUCUAUAGUAUACAUGGCAUAAUCCAAUAACCAAUAAUAACUAUGAAUAGCCAAUAGUAACGCAUAAAUUUUAAAUUAUUGAGAAUUUAGCUUUUUAAUUGAACUCAGGUUAAGAAUUUUAUGGGUUGCAAGUUUUGAAAAUUAACCCAAAUUUAGAAGGUUCAUUUGGAUUUGCUUGGCUUUUUUAUUAUUUUUUUCAGCUCAAGUUUUUUUAAAAUUUUAUAAAUAAGCAUUUAUUCAAUUGGAGAUUAGAUUCUUUUAUUUUUAUUUCUUUGUUUUCUAUAAAAAAAAUUUAUUAUUUUUGAAAAUGACUCGGGUUAUUGGGUUAUCUUAGUUAUUUUUAUUUAUUUUUCUUUGUUGAAUUUACUUUGAAAAAAAAAUUAAUUGAUUUUUUUUCGAUUUCAUCCUUCAAUAUUAGAUUGGUUGGGAAUUAAUUUUUUUUUCAGUUCAAUCCUUUACGGUUAGAGUUUUUUUAUAUUGGACUUCAUGAUUUUUUUCGAUUUAUUUUCUAUUCGAUUAUCUCAGUUCUAUCAUUUAGAGACCAUAGGUUUGGUGGGUUAGCCUAUGUUGACUUAGGGUUUUUUAGGAUAUUUUUUUAUUUAAUAUUUUUCAUGUUUUAUUCUUCAACAGUACUAGGUUGUUUUAGAAUUAACCUUUGUAAUCUUUUUCGGUUUGUCUUCUAUUAGGUUAUCUUAUUUGCAUGAUUUAGAUCGCAAAGUUUGGUUAACUCACCCAAUUUGCUUAUUUGUUUUUUUUAUUUUUUAAUUGAUUUUUUUUUAAUUUCAUCAUUCUAUGCUGGAGUUGGACUUUGGUAUUUUUUUACUUUAUAUUGACAUAUCUUGGUCUUAUGACUUAGCUUGAGUAUUUGACAUGCUCAUUUAAGUUGGUUCACAGUGGUUUUUUCUUCUUUUUUUUCUAUUUUUUAUUUUUUUCUUUUUAAUUGGCUAAAUCUUAGUUUAUAUCAUCUUUUUUUUAUUUUAGCAACUUUUUUUUUUAGAUUCUCAUGAUUUGUUUUUUAAUUUAAAAUGAUUUAAUUUUUAUUUUAUUAUCUAAUUAAAUUAUACCAAUUUCUUUCUUGAUGUGAACCCACAAAUCUAGCAGACAUUGAAAAUCGAGAAAAUUAAUACUUCUCAAAUUUUCAAAUCCUUCUCAAAUAAUAUAGAAAAUUAACUCUUCUUAAAAGAUGAUUAAUUUGGUAUUGUUUCGUUCACAAUAUAAUUUUAGUUGAUCCUUGUUGAGAAACAGAAUUCCCUAAGAAAUUGUGUGUACCCAAAUGACUUGAGAAAAUAGCUGACAGACUCUGCGUGUCUCUGUUUCUAUUGAAUUGUAUAUUAUUUCCUCUAUAAUUAUUUAGGUCUUCCUUUGUAUGCAUAACCAAUACAGCAAGAGUUAUAUCCUUGUACGGAGAAGUAUUUAAAAUAAUCAAUAGAAAACACAUUACUCUAACAUAAACAUAUAUUCGGUAAUAGAAAAGCAUUUUCCAUUUUCUUUUUCGGUUUUGUUCUUUUAGUUUUUAUUUUCACAAAAAUUAAAAAAAUUAUUUAUUUUAGCAACUCAGAAAACUAUAAAAUAUAUUCAUAGUGUUUUAUAAGGAGAAAAAUGACAAAGUAAUUAUUGUGUUCAAAUUAAUUUGUUUUUCUAGACAUUCUUUAUAUUUUAACAUAAACAUAUAUUUGUUUCUCAUCUUAAAUAUCUCAUUCAUUUUUCAUUUAUUUAUUAUUGUUUUGAGGGAAAAGUUUUUAAUAUUAUAUUUCUCUCUGAUUAAGAGACUACCUCCUAUACUAACACCUCUAAAACAGAACCUGAGAAACGACCGAGAAAACCCAAUGAUACUCAAUCCUCAUAAUAAAAAGAAAAUACCAUAAAUUUUAUCCUCAAUAAUUAUAAAAAAUCUAUAUUACAACUCUCCUCUUAAAUAAUGCAAAUAAAAUCCUAAAUUAACUAGAAAAUUAUGAUCAAUCCCAGUAGUAUAUUUUGGAGGCCUUAAUUUGUAGAUUUAAUGUUUGUGAAUAUAUUAGAAUAUUAUCUAUGAAUUUAAACUCUAGAUUUAAGAAAAAAAAUCAAAACUUAAAAGAAAAGGAAAUUACUAAAAUAUAAGGUUAAGAAAAAUAUGUAAAAAUCUACAAAUUUCAAAUUUAAAACUUUUUAUUUUUACAAUGAAUUUUAAAAGUUAAGAGGUUGAAAAAUUAAUUUUUACCAUUAUUAAUAUUUGCUUAGUCAUUAUAAAUUAAUGAUUAAAUCUAAAAAAAUUAGAGUGUUUUUUAGUAAGAAAACCAAAGAUUUUUAAAAAUUAAUUUUUUAUUCACUCAUAAUUUAUUUAAAUUAUUUUAAUUAAGAUAAAUUUCCAACAUAACUACUUCAUAUGGCUAAAAAAAAAAAUUAACCUUAUAGGAAUGAGAAUUUCUAGAUUCUACGUCAUUAAUACGGUUAAUUGUGGCAGAUUUUGUGCCACACCCACAAAGCCAGUCAAUGCCAGCAAAGCCACGCAAUUGUUCACUUUCCAACAAGAUCAGUUCCAACAUUAUAUGGUCCAGACAAAAAAACACCUAAAGAAUUAUCUCUUCCAAUUUUAUGCCUACUCCAUUCCAUAUUUGAUCUGUCUGUAUAGUACAAAGUAAUUGCAAAAUCUUUGCAAAUUGCAACCAAAAUGAAGAUAGCGGAGCUGGUGUUCAUCCCAUUUCCAGCCAUGGGCCAUGUGGUACCAGCAGUGGAAACAGCUAAACUUCUUGUUGAAUUUGACAAUCGAGUUUCCACCACUGUUCUUCUAAUGAAACCAGCUAUUGACUCGAGUACCAUCAAGUAUACCGAGUCACUUGCUGCAUCAACUUUGCCUGACCGUAUGCGAUUCAUUGAAUUGCCUUCUCUUGAUGAACUCAGAUCAAGAAAAGGUAUUUGGCUAGAUUCUUUGAUAGAGGGUCAAAAACCCCAUGUCAGAGAAUUUGUUUCGAAGAUCGUUUCAAAGUCCGAUCUGAGCCCUGACUCGCCUCGACUUGCUGGAUUUGUUUUUGAUGCGUUUUGCACGGGAAUGAAAGAUUUGGCCGAUGAAUUUGGUGUUCCCUGGUACGUUUUCUCUUCCUCAGGAGCAGCUUUUCUUGGUUGCUUGUCAUAUUUACAGGUUCUUCAUGAUGAGCAGAACAUGGACAUAACUGAGUUCAAGAACUCAGAUGCUAUGUUAGAAAUUCCGAGUUUUGUGAACCCAAUGGCUGCUAGGCUUCUGCCAUCUAUGACGUUUAGGAAAGAUUCGGUCCUUGUUUUGGUCGGCGCUGCUAGAAGGUUAAGGGAAGCUAGUGGUAUUGUUGUAAAUACAUUUAUAGAGUUGGAAUCCUAUGCAGUUAACUCCCUUUCUAAAAUUGGCAUCCCACCGUUGUAUCCAGUGGGACCCAUUGUGAAUGUGGGGUCAGAUAAAAGCAAUGACAAUAGAGAAAUUAUGGAAUGGCUUGAUGAUCAACCCCCAUCAUCUGUAGUGUUCUUGUGCUUUGGAAGCCUGGGAAGUUUUUGUGUGGAUCAGGUGAAAGAGAUUGCAUAUGCUCUCGAACACAGUGGGAAAAGAUUUUUAUGGGUUCUACAAAAACCUUCAAAAGGUAAGACGGAAUCCGCAAGUGAUUUUCAAGAAACUUUACCCGAAGGAUUUUUAGAUCGAACAACUGAGCUCGGAAAGGUGAUUGGUUGGGCUCCGCAGGCAGAAAUAUUAGCCCACCGAGCUAUCGGAGGGUUUGUUUCGCACUGCGGAUGGAAUUCUAUACUAGAAAGUAUAUACUUCGGUGUUCCAAUUGCUGCAUGGCCGAUAUACGCAGAACAGCAAUUUAAUGCUUUUCAAUUAGUGAUUGAAUUGGGAUUAGGAGGAGAGAUUAAGAUAGAUUACAUAGAGGGUUCUAACAGUGAUGGCUAUGAAAUUGUGAGUGCUGACAGUAUAAAGAAAGGAAUAGAGGGUAUAAUGGAGGACGAUAGUGAAAUAAGAAAACGGGUGAAAAAUAUGAGUCAAGUAAGCAAGCAAGCCUUGACUGCUGGUGGAUCUUCACACUCUUCACUGGGUCGUCUAAUUGCAGAUGUUAUGAGCAACAUUCCAUGAAGUAAUUGAUUUUCCUAGAGGAAAUUAUUUUGAAUAAGAUUUUAUAGGUUUAAGCUUCUAUUUAGAGCAGCUUAAUUAAUUGAGGAGCCUUCAGCAUGAGGAGGUUUUUCAAUUUUGCAUUAUUGUAAACUUAAAUUAUUAAGUUUGACAGAUGUAGUGGAGUCAUGAGACAUUUUACAAUUAAGAUGUUAGCUCACAACUUUAUAAUUAGUUUUCCUUCCACUUCUAUAUUAAGUGAAUUAUAUAUAACUGUAAUUAUAUUCAUAACAAUAAUUAUAUAGUAAGAAAAAAGAAUCGCACAUUUAGUUAAUAAAUAAUUUAAUUAUUCAAUUUAUAUUAUCAACAUUUUUUUUAGAAUUCAUUCUUCAAUCAAAAAUUAUAUUUUUUUUUUUUCAGUUUAGCUUUUAUUCUUUUGAUUUUUUUUUUACUGAUUUUUUUCUUUUUAAUUUAGCCCUCCAAUUUAAUUUUUAAAUGCCUUCAAAUUUAUUUUUUAUUUUGGUUUCCACCUUUAUUUUUUUUAUUUUUUAUGUGGUUGAUUUUUUUCAUAGUUACAUUCUUCGAUGGUUGAUUUAUUUGGAUUAAUUAAGCUUCACAGUUUUUUCAUUUGUCAUGCUUCUAAUUUAAUAACUACGGUCACAACUUUUAAGUGUUAAUACAAUUAGUAAUUUUUUUACCUCAUUUUAUUUUAUGAUUUUAUCAUUCUACAUUAUUUAAAAAAUAUUGUUUUGUGGUUACUUUCAUAUUUUUUUAUAUUUGUCUAUCUCGGUAUCAAUACAUAAACCACGGGUUUUGUAAAGUUGUUUUUGAAUAAUGGUUUUUUUGAAAGAAAAAAAACUGUUUUGUUUUGUGUUUAAUUUUUGCUAAUUUUUUAUUUUACUUUAUAAAAGUAGGUUUUGUUUUGUACAAAAAAAAAUAGUUAUUUUGAAAUAAUAUUUAUAAUAUGUUCAGCUAUGCAUAAUUAAUGAACAAAUUUAGUGGACACAAAUAAAUAAAUAUCUCAUUUUACAAGAUCAAAUAUCUUAAUCUACGUCUAUUUUUUAACUUUUCCUGUUUCUAUUUUAGUUAUUGUUAACAAAUUAUUUAUUUAUUUAAUCAUUAGAUGUUUGGAUAAAAAAAUUUUAUUUACACUUAUAAUUUUUAUUAUGUAAGAAAAAACAUUUCAAAAUAGUUUGUAUACUCAAGCUUUUUUAUGUUUUGAGAAAAAAUAUUACGACCCGCUAUGGAGCACAAAUCAAAUCAAAUUUUUAGUUGCCCUCUAAUUAAUUCUUUUUUCACCUUUAUUUUUUUAGAUCCUUUUGUGUAAUUGAUUUUUAUUUUUGAUUUCAUCUUUCAAUAUUUAAUUUGUUGGAGAUUCUGCUUCAUAUGAUCUUAUCAGUCUGCAUUUGUUUUUUUUAAAACAAUAUUAGUUUUGUAAUUAUCUUUAAUUUCUUUUCUAUAAAUUUAUUUCAUUCAUAUAAUUCAGGUCAUGGGUUUUGCAUGCCUUUUUUUAAUAUAAGUUUUUUAUAGAGUUGUUUGGUUUGUGUUUGGUUUUUCAAAAUGUUAUCCUAAUUCAUCUAGAAUUUUUUUGGGGUUUUAUACAAAUGAGGUUUAUUUUUUAAAAUAAAAAAUAUUAAUUUAAAUAUUUUUAAAUAAUAUUUAUUGAUGUAUUUUGGCCUUGUAUAAUAUUUUUUUUGGGUAUGAGUUUAUUUAGUCAAUUUUAUUUGUGUUUAUCUUUUAAGUCAUGAGUUUUUUAGGUUGUGGAUUUAUCUUUUAUUAAUUUUAAUAAACAAGUGUAUUAAACACAAUCACGUGAAUGUCUCAUUUUGUGUGGUAAAAUAUCUUGAUUUACAUCCAUUUCUCAAUUUUAUCAAUUUGUUUUUGGUUGUUGUUAAUGAUUUUUCGUUUAUUUAUAUAAAUAAUUAUUAAUUUAUUUAAUGAGAUAUUUACAUAAAUAUUUAAAUUUCAAAUUUCAAAUUUUUUUAUAUUAAAAAACAUCUACAUAGCGAAUAUUUAAAAAAAAAAUCAUAACAUGUGGCAAAGCGCGGCUUAAAUGGCUAUUCGUGUCCCAUUUGUUGAAACUUCACACUCGAAGAUGAUAUUUGAAACAAGAUCAGCCAUUCAUAUAUGCUAUCAAUCAAUAAUUCAGUACUUUCAUUUUCUUGUAGAAUAGUUGGCUAUAAUUACAUGUCCGGGAAUCAUUCAAACAAAGCAUGAACACUAGCUUAGCAACACCAAAUUUUAGCUAUGAAGAAAGCAGAGUUAGUGUUCAUCCCUUUACCUGCCAUGGGCCAUAUUAUAGCAGCAGUAGAGAUUGCCAAGCUUAUUGUUGAACGUGAUGAUCGAAUUUCCACAAGCGUCCUCAUAAUGAGGCCAACUCUUGACUCCACUACCACCAAAUACACUGAGUCACUCACUCCAUCAACUCUACCCAAUCGCAUGCGAGUCGUUGAUUUGCCCUGUCUUGAGCACACCGCUGUACAUAACACUGGUGCUAGCUGGAUGGCUUCUCUGGCUGAAGCUCACAAAAACCAUGUCAAAGAAUUUGUUUCCAAGAUCAAGGCUCAGUCAGAGUUGAGCCCAAAUGACUCUCCUCGAAUUGCUGGGUUUGUUUUGGAUACUUUUGUUUUGGGAAUGGAUGAUUUGGCUGGAGAAUUUGGUGUUCCCUGGUAUGUUUUCUCGGCUUCAGGUGCAGCUUUUAUCGGCUCGAUGUUGUAUCUUCAGGCCCUUCAUGAUGAGCAGAAAGCGGAUCUCCCUGAGUACAAAGACUCGGAUGCUGAGUUGGAAAUUCCAAGCUUGGUGAACAGGCUUCCUGCUAAGCUCCUGCCUUCUUUGGUGUUUAACAGAGAAUCUCUCCCUAUUUUUCUUGGUGCUGCAAGAAGGUUGAAGCACGCAAGGGGCAUUUUGAUAAAUACAUUCGAAGAGUUAGAAUCGCAUGCAAUAAACUCUCUUUCUAAGGGUGAAUCCCUCCUGUAUAUCCGUUGGGACCAGUUGUGAGAUGUAAAGGAAACAGCUAUGAUGUGGGAUCAAGUCAAAUCAACGACUACAAGGACAUAAUGCAAUGGCUUGAUGAUCAGCCUCCAUGCUCAGUAGUGUUUUUGUGCUUCGGGAGUUGGGGAAGUUUCAGCGUUGAUCAAGUGAAAGAGACUGCAUAUGCAUUGGAGCAAUGUGGACAUCGAUUCUUGUGGUGUCUGCGUGAACGUCCAUGCAAGGGUAAGAUUGAAUCACCAAGUGAUUAUGUAAAUUUUCAAGACAUUUGCCUGAAGGGUUUUUAGAUCGAUCAGUUAAGAUAGGAAAGGUGAUUAAAUGGGCUCCGCAAGUGGAAAUCUUGGGGCACAAAGCUAUUGGAGGAUUUGUAUCACAUUGUGGAUGGAAUUCUACCUUAGAAAGUACUUUGUCUGGUGUACCAAUUGCCACAUGGCCAUUGUAUGGAGAGCAACAAUUUAAUGCUUUCGAAAUAGUGAUUGAGUUAGGGUUAGGAGUGGAGAUUAAAAUAGAUUCUGGAAUUGAUAUUAUCGAAGGUGCUAUCGGAGAAAUUGUGAGUUCUGAUGAUAUAAAAAGAGGAUUAAAGUUACUAAUGGAGAAUGGAAGUGAGAUUAGAAAAAAGGUGAAAGAGAUGAGUCAACUCAGCAGGAAAGCUUUGAUGGAAGAUGGGUCUUCAUACUCUGCAUUGACUCGUCUAAUUGAAGAUGUGAUGGACAACAUAGCAUGCCACGAUUGCUCUUUGCUGUCAUGAAAAUAGAUUUACAAACGAUGUCGCAUUGUGAAUUUACUUAACCAAUGAGCAGGUAGCUAGCUCAAUGGUUAUCUCAUGCCACCAUGAGAGAUAAUUAAGUUUUAAGAUCAAGUUUAUUUUGAUAGAAAUUCUACUUAAAUAUUAAAUAAAACAGAGUUAUAAGAAGAUGUUGAUUAUGAUUUAUUCAAAGCAAAUAAGGAUCCAAAGCUUUAUUCAAGGCAAAUUAUGCAAUGCCUUUUCAUCGACUUGUGUGUCUCUAUGGAGGUAAAUUGAGGAGAAAAUAACGUUUUUUUUUUUUUCUCACCCAACCAUCCAAGUAAAUUGAAAAGAAGUAGUAAAAACUCGAAUAACAUUAUAAUGCAAAACACGAGAAGAUUUUGUUAGCUCAAUGAUAAAAGAGAUAGAGAUGUCAUAAGACUUCAAAAGAAAAGAAAGGCUAUGUAAAAUCAAAGCAGCUCACGGCUGCUUUUUUUUUAUACUUUACAUUAUUCCCGUGAAUAAUUUUUUAAAAAAAAAAAAAACAGUACAGUAAAUUAUAAAUUCACUUAUAUUGUUCACGUUCACGUGAACAAUAAUUUUUUUUAAAAUAAAACUAAUGUAGAUUGAAUUAAAUUCACUCGCACUGUAAUCUCAAUUUUAUUGCUAAUAAUAUUUUAUCUAAUUUUAUUGGAGGCUCAAAAAAUCAUGAAAAUUGUACUUCUUGUCGGAUGAAUUUUGUAGGUAAUGAAAUUAUAGAUAGUUUAAUGGAACAAUAAAAAAUAUUUUAUAUAAAGUAUUAUUUAUUUCAUGAUGUAAUAGGAGUAGUUAAAUUUACAAUAUUUAAAUUUAAAACCAUUAAUAUUAAUAUAUAUAUAUAUAUUAGUUAUUUUAUAACCUCAAUUUAAAAAGUAUUCUUAAUCAAACACAAUAAACUACUUUUUAUUCAAACUCAAUUUUAACCAUAAUUUUAACCAAACAUAUAUAAAUAUCAAAUCAAUCUCAACUAAAAGUACUUUUUAUAAAAUAACUUUUUUCAAACCACAACCAUAAAAGCUACUAUAAUAUCAAACACAUAUACGAAGAAUGGGUUAGCUGUUAGAUUUACAAAAAGAUAUCAUUGAAUUACAAAGGAUGAUAUGAUAAUUUUUUUUAUUUGAAGGACUAAAAAUACAUUAAAGAAAAAAAAGAAUAAAGAAAAGAGAUGAGUCAGCUAGGCAGGAAAGCUUUGAUGAAAGAUGGGUCUUCUUCAUACUCCGCGUUGGCUCAUCUGAUUGAAGAUAUGAUGGAUCUAAAUCUAUGUUAAGAAACUCUAAUUAGAUAUUAAGUUUGUGUUUGUAACUUUGACGGAAGAUGAUUUUUAAAAUAUUUUUGUUUAAAAAUAUAUCAAAAUAAUUUUUAUAUUAACAAAUUAAAAUCAUAAAAAAAAAGCAUUGAAAAAAAUAUUAAAUUAAUAUUUUUUUAAAUUAAAUAUAUAUUUAAAACAAUAAUAAUAACAAUAAUUUUCUAGCUAUUUGGCCAAGCUUAAAUGGUUAGCCGUCCAACCAUCUGUGUCAUCUGUCAUGCCCCGAACAAUUGGAAUUUUUCUAGCCAUUUGAGCUUUCAGCUCAAAAUCCUAACCCCCAUGGUUAGAAUUUUCAGCUCCAUAUUUGAUAUUAACUUGAAAUAUCUAAUUUUAUCUUUAUUAUAUAUCAAAAUAAUUUAAAAAUAUAUAAAAAAUUAAAUCUUUUAAAAAACACAGUCUAAUCACUGCACCAACUUUGCUAAAAACAAAUUAUAAAAAACUGGAUAUAUAUAUAUAUAUAUGAGACCUUGAUUUCAUUUCGUUUUUUCAAGCAGGCAUUGAAAAUCGAGGUAAAUAAUACUUGUCAACUGUUUUUUAAUUAUUUUUAUAUCAUUAUACAUCAAAAUAAUUUAAAAAUAUAAAAAAUAUUAAUUUUUUUUUAAAUAUACUCUAAUCACAACCCCGAACACCAACUUUAUUAAAAAAAAAUUAGAAAAAACUGUACGAGAGAUAAUAUAUAUAUAUAUAUAUAUAUAUGAGACCUUGCUUUCAUUUCGUUUUUUUCAAGGGGCCAUGACAUGACAACUGAGCAGGCAUUGAAAAUCGAGGCAAAUAAUACUUGUCAAGUUCUCCAAUCCUUGUAGAUGAAAAGGAUGGUUAGACAGUUGAAUUUGGAAUUAUUAUAUGCAGUAGCAGUGACCUUAAUCAAAUUUCUAGGAGUUAUCAUAUGAUGCCGAAGCAGUGACAUAGAUCGUACAGCUUCACUCUCUCUCUCUCUCUAAAUAAAUAUGAUUGUGGAUAUAUUCAUUGAAUCUUAGGGAAAUGUUCUGGCCAUCAAUUCCUCGCGCAGCGUGCAGCGACUUCAACUGGAUGUUUACUCGUAUUAAAAUACUAGAAUUAACUUCAAGUUUUUGUCUUUUCGAAGAAGCAGUUCUCAGAUGCUAUGUUGUCCAUCAUGUCUUUUAUUACUUGCGUGGUUGCUUCUGCCUUUGAAGUAAUCAGACCAACUCACCUGUUUGGUAAUGCUACAACAGCAGAUUUUGGUGGAGUCUACUGUUAAUUGUGGCACGGCCACAAAUUUGCAAGAAGCAGCAAUUUGCCAAUCCUUGUAGAUGAAAAGGAUGGUUAGACAGUUGAAUUUGGAAUUAUUAUAUGCAGUAGCAGUGACCUUAAUGAAAUUUCGAGGAGUUAUCAUAUGAUGCCGAAGCAGUGACAUAGAUCGUACAGCUUCUCUCUCUCUCUCUCUCUCUCUCCGAAUGAAAACGAUUGUUCAUAUAUUCAUUGAAUCUUGGGGACAUGUUCUGGCCAUAAUUCCUCGCGCAGAGUGCAGCGACUUCAACCGCAUAUUAGAGGGAAAUGUUAUCUCUUUAUUAUUUUUCUUAUCAUCUAGAGAUUUCAAGGUUUUGUACUUUAUGAAAGGACUUUCGUAGUGUUGUUUAUGAAUGUGGUUAAAAUACUGUUCGGUAAAAAUUUUAAAUAAAUUUUUUAUAUUUUUUAAUUGUUUUAAUGUAUUACUAUUAAAAAUAUAUUAUUUUAAUAUAUUUUAAAAAAAAGAAAAUUACUAUAUUAAGACUAUUUCUCUUAAUGAAUUUUACCAUCGAAAUAUAGAAGAUUAACUCUUCUCAAAAGAUGAUCAAUUUGGUCCUCUUUCCUCACCAUAUAAUCUUAGUUGAUCUUUGUUGGGAAAAUGAAUUCCCUAAGGAAUUGUGUGUACCCGAAUGACUUGAGGAAGUAGCUAUCAGACUCUGCUUGCCUCCAUUUAUAUUGGAUCGUUUGAGCUGUAUUAUAUACUAUACAGGACUUCCUCUAUACGCAUAACCAAAAGGGCAUCAAUUGUAUUUUUGUACAGAGAAGUAUAGUUGAAUUUCAUAAAAGAGAUCUAAAUUUAAAUUUCUGACAGGGACGGCAUCGCAUUUUUUUGGGUCUUCUUGACGAAUUGUAAAAGCAGUCCACAAUCACAGCAAAGCCAUGACCUCACUCUUAUGCUUGUCCUGCACGUUUAUAUUUUUGAACAAUAUAUUGCCAAUCUCAAGUCCACUUAUUUUACAACAGGCCUUUAAAAAGGAUAUGAAAAUCAGUCUUUUCCAUGCAAUCCCACCUUGAAAUCCUCUAGCAAAUAAAGAAAAAAAAAAGAGCUCUGUAGCAGAAUGAAGAAAGCUGAGCUGGUCUUCAUACCAACAACAGGUAUAAGCCACCUCCUAUCCUCAGUAGAGGUAGCAAAGCUUCUUGUAGACCGUGAUGAGAGGCUUUCAAUCACCUUCCUCAUCAUGAAACUAAGUUCUGACCCCAAGAUUGAUAGGUUUAUAAAUUCAGUGAGUACAGCCUGUAAUCGUAUCCGGUUCAUUGACUUGCCUAAAGAUGAGCCUGAUCCAAACCAACCCAGGAAGUUUCUCUUUUCUUUGAUUGAAGCCCAGAAACCCCAUGUCAAAGAAGAAGUCUUUAAGCUUGUGAGUCAGUCUGAGUCAAGCCCUCACUCGCCUUCUCUUGCUGGGUUUGUUCUUGAUAUGUUUUGUACAUCUAUGAUAGAUGUGGCCAAUGAAUUUGGUGUUCCAUCAUAUAUUUUCCUUACGUCAGGUGCAGCUUGUCUUGGCCUUCAAUUUUAUGUUCAGGCUCUUCACGAUGAGCAGAAAGUUGACCCUACUGAGUUCAAGGGCUCGGAUGCUGAGUUGGUCAUGCCGUGUUUGGCAAAUCCUCUUCCAGCUAAGGUCUUGCCUUUUUUUAUGCUUGACAAAGAGUGGCUGCCACUUUUCGUCGGUCUAGCUAGAAGGUUUAGAGAAAGUAAGGGUAUUAUAAUAAACACAUUUGAAGAGCUGGAAUCUCAUGCGAUUGACUCCUUUUCUAAGGCCAAGGGUAAUACCCCUCCGGUAUAUCCAGUGGGUCCCAUUUUAAACCUUAAUAGAGAUGCUGAUUGUGACGAGGAGUCUGAUAAAUACAAAGACAUCAAGCAAUGGCUCGAUGAGCAGCCUCUAUCCUCGGUAGUGUAUCUAUGCUUCGGAAGCAUGGGGAGUUUCGGUGCGGAUCAAGUGAAGGAAAUUGCUUGCGGGCUAGAGCAGAGUGGGCAUCGAUUCUUGUGGUCUCUACGUAAACCACCACCGAAAGGCGAGAUGGAACUUCAUCCAAGCGAUUACACUGAUCCUCGGGAUGUCUUACCUGAAGGGUUUUUGGAUCGGACGACUAACAUUGGAAAAAUAAUUGGAUGGGCCCCACAAACAGAUAUUUUGGCCCAUCCAUCUGUAGGAGGGUUUGUUUCGCACUGUGGAUGGAACUCUGUAUUGGAAAGCAUAUGGUUUGGCGUUCCAAUUGCCACAUGGCCAUUACAUGCAGAGCAACAACUUAAUGCUUUUAUGUUAAUUGUUGAGCUCGGAUUGCGAGUGGAAAUUAAAAUGGAUUAUAGAAGAGAAUUUAACUGGGAUGGUAGUGAAAAUGUCAUUAGUGCCGGGGAGAUCGAGAGAGGAGUAAGGUGUUUAAUGGAGCUUUGCGAUGAGAAGAGGGAGAAGUUGAAGGAGAUGAGUGGAAAGAGCAGGAAGGCUUUGGAGAACGGUGGAUCCUCGUUCACUUGGUUAGGUCGUUUCAUUCAAGAUACGGUAGACCACCUGCCAUGAUUAAACUGUACUCUCUUCGUGUUAUUUAAUAAAACGCUUGAGUCUUUCUAGGGCAGGACCUAACUUUAUAUAUUCUAUUUGGGUUGGCAAUCCAGCAAGACCAAAUCUCAAUAUAUAUUAAAAAAAAUACAAAAAUAUUAAAAAUAUUAAUUUGAAGUAAAGAAAACAAUAAAAAAUAUUUAAAAAAUUUUCAAAGCAUUUUUUACACCAAAACCAAACAUGUUUUAAUAAGAAAAUUCAACUCAAUAAAAAAAAUUAUCAUCACCUAAAGUUUGUAUAAUGUAAAACAAAAUCAUAUUAAUUUAUUUUCUCAUUACAGUAUGAAAACAAAUCAAUAAGAGAAAAGAAAAGAAAAUUCAAGAGGAAGAUAAUUUUUUUUAUUUGUUAAAAAUUAUUUUUUAUAUAAUCAUGUCAAAUUAAUACAAAAACAUCUUAAUAUGAAUUAAGGAAAAAUAAUAAUUUAAAGUAAAGAAAAAAAUAAAAAAAUUAUCAAAUUUUUUUCAAAGCAUUGUUGAAAAACAAAAACAAAAAUGGUUUAAUAAGAAAAUUCAACCCAACCUAAAACUAAAAAAAACUUUAUCAUCACCUAAUUUUUUUAGAAUAUAAAAAAACAAUAUUGGGUUCAGCUGCCCUGGCAAACCCAAGCCAGACCCAACCUCUUUUUUGGCACUUUUUGGAAGUGUUUUGAAUCUAACUUGUCAGCCCGGCCCAAUAGUGUUGGGCCCAGCUACCAAGCCCCACCUAACAACUUUUUGCAGAGAAGGCAACGCCCUCAGCCACAAUUUUUUACCAAAAACACAGAUGAGAAUCGUCUCUUAAGGCGCUGCAAUAUUGUCCACAUUGAAAGCAAUCUAUACCUAUAAUGUCGUCUACAAUGCAAUGUGUCUGUGUCCACUCCCAUAUGUUUUGAAAGAGCCCAGCAGACAGUAAAUGCAACUACCUGUUGGAUCUUAUAUAAUACAAAAAUAUAAAGUAUAUUAUGUGAACGAAAAAAUUAUUUGGAAUUAUAAUUUUUCUGAAAGCUUUUAUUUUGAAAAACAAAUUCAAGAGGGUUCUUUGAAACCCUCGGAUUGGAUAUUUUGACCAAUAAAAAACAUUUCACUUCACCAAAAAGCAAAACAAAAGUUUUUAACACUGAUACAACCCUAUCCAUGAGAAUCGAUUAAAUUUUCAGGACAAGUUUGUUUAAAACAAACAUCAAAAUGAUUUUUUGAAUAGCUUUACAACUUAUCUUUCACACAGCCUUGUCCCUAAAGAAACCUAAACACUUGAGAACAUGAUCAAACUGAGAGGCAAUCCAACAAACACAUAAUAGGGUUGAUGCAGAGCUGGCAACCUUUAUAUAAAGGUUUGUGGGCAAAGAAAUAUGCUGAUGUGAUACCCCUCCUAGAGGUCAAGAUCAUAAGAUGUGACUCUAGUAAGCAAAAGUAAAGAGUCGUCAAAGCUUACUAUCAAAGAUUCAAAUUUUUUAGAAAAGGAAAACUCCAUAAGAAAAGGAGACAUAUAUUUCUUAGGUAAGUAUACAUGCAUUUCAAUCAUGAUACAUUGCUUCCAUCAUUUGAUAGAUCGGUGUCUCACCAUCACCUCUUUUUGAGUGCGUUAUUGGGCCCUCAUCAUUCAGCUAGUACACUUUACAGCCCUACCUUUUUUUUUCCUUUUGAGUAUGCCUUCGAGCCCUCCACCACUUAAGUUUUGUACUUUGCAGCCCUACCUUUUUCAAUUUGAACAUGCUUUCGAGCUCUCCACCAUAUUAGGUUUUGCGCUUUACAGAUCUAUAUUUUUUCCUUCGAGUGCGUCUUCAAGCCCUCAACCAUCUUGAGUCAGGCAUUUUCUAACCAAACUUUCUUUUGAGUGCGCCUAAGAGCCCUCGACUACCAUGAAUAGUGCGUUUUCAAACCUCUUUCAAUUCUUUUAGAAAAUACUUUUAAAAUGUAAAAAUAACAUGGCGUUAUCUUUUUAUUAAUUUUCUCAUCCUCUAGUGGUUUCAAGGGUUUUGUACUGUAUAAAAGGACUUUUAUAAUAUUUAGGAAUGUGGUUAAAAUAUUGUUCGGUAAAAAUUUAAAUUUAAUUUUUUAUAUUUUUUAAUUGGUUUAAUGUAUUACUAUUAAAAAUAAAUUUAAAUUUUUUAUAUUAUACCCUAUACAGGACUUCCUUUAUACGCAUAACCAAAAGGGCAUCGAUUGUAUUUUUGUACAGAGAAGUAUAUAAAGCAAUUAAUGAAAAACACGUACCCCUAAAUCGAAAUACUUCAUAGUUGUUUUCUCCAUACAAUUUUCUCCUUUUCGUUUUAUUUUCAAGUAUGUUUAAAAACAAAUUUUAUAUAUUUCUUUGUCUUGAAGAAGAUACUGUUCUUGCAAAUUAAAAAAAAAAAAAACUCAUCCUGCAUUUACAAAGCAAGAAAAUAAUGUCUUUGAAUAACAAGUAGUUUUUAUUGAAGAUCAUGUAUUAUCUUAAUUUACAAAAUCAGGAUGUAUCUCCAUCAGAAAGGAGAAAACCAUUCCUUCCUAAGUUAUUUUAUAUUAAAAUAAAUAUUUUUUUAUUUUUAAAAUAUUAUUUUUAAUAUCAACACAUCAAAACAUUCUAAAAUAAUAAAAAAAUAAUUUUUAACAAAAACAAAAUUCAAAAUUCAAAAUUCAAAAAAUCAUAAUUUAAUCCGCAUUACCAAAGAUAACCUUCAUUUUCUUUUUCAAACGUUAGUAUGCAUGAUUUCUGCAAUGCCUUUUAUUUGUCAGGUAAAGUGAAACUUUCUACGCAAAGAAACUUUUAGUAAAUAAAGAAAGUGGAGAUGGGCCGGGCUUUCCUCGUACAAACUUGGAGCACAUCGCAUGUGGAUACGAUCAGGAGAAUGUUGGAUCGGUUAAGCCCAUAUUUUGUCUUAGGCCUAACCAAUGCUUAUUUGAUUAUUAGAAAUUUGAAAUUACAUUAUAUAUGUAAAUCGAACUAAUCGUAUUAUUACUUUGCAUUAUUUCUAAAAAUAUCAUCUUUCCUUCAAGAACUGUCCCUUUUCACUAAGGGCAUUUAUUUAUUUAUUUUUAUUAAAAUAUAGGUGUUAUUUGGUUCUAGAUUAAAUUUUUUUUAAAGAAAUUCUUAGAGUUGAUGUGUCUAGGUGUGACCUAGUUAAUAGGGUUAUUAACCAAGUUGUUUUGAGUGUAUAUAUAUAACUUGAACUUGGCCCAGAUCAAAUUUAAAAUCCUUGCUUUUUAAAUUAAUUUAUCAAGUUAAAUUAAGUUUAAUCAUUAUGACAUUUGGUUUUUUUUCUUGAUUUAAAGUUCAAGAUUAGUGUUUAUUUUCUAACUGAUACAAGAUGAUGUGUUUUUAAAGUUAUUCGUAACCUAAAUUUAAUCUCUAUUAACAUAAAUCCUAAAGCAUCAAUAUAUAUAUAUAUAUAUAUAUAGAAAAUUCAGCCCAAAAUAUGUAGUAAAAAACGUUGUCUUCUACUUUGAAUUUCAUAAAAGAGAUCUAAAUUUAAAUUUCUGACAGGGACGGCAUCCCAUUUUUUUGGGUCUUCUUGACGAAUUGUAAAAGCAGUCCACAAUCACAGCAAAGCCAUGACCUCACUCUUAUUCUUGUCCUGCUCGUAUAUAUUUUUGAACAAUAUAUUGCCAAUCUCAAGUCCACUUAAUUACAGCCACAAACAGUGCCUUUAAAAAGGAUACGAAAAUCAGUCUUUUACAUGCAAUCCCACCUUGAAAUCCUCUAGCAAACAAAGAAAAAAAAAAGGAGCUCAGUAGCAGAAUGAAGAAAGCUGAGCUGGUCUUCAUACCAACACCAGGUAUAAGCCACCUCGUAUCCACAGUAGAGGUAGCAAAGCUUCUUGUAGACCGUGAUGGGAGGCUUUCAAUCACCUUCCUCAUCAUGAAACUACGUUCUGACCCCAAGAUUGAUAGGUUUAUAAAUUCAGUGAGUACAGCCUGUAAUCGUAUCCGGUUCAUUGACUCCUAAAGAUGAGCCUGAUCCAAACCAACCUAGGAAGUUUCUCUUUUCUUUGAUUGAAUCCCAGAAACCCCAUGUCAAAGAAGAAGUCUUUAAGCUUGUGAGUCAGUCUGAGUCAAGCCCUGACUCGCCUUCUCUUGCUGGGUUUGUUCUUGAUAUGUUUUGUACAUCUAUGAUAGAUGUGGCCAAUGAAUUUGGUGUUCCCUCAUAUAUUUUCCUUACGUCAGGUGCAGCUUUUCUUGGCCUUCAAUUUUAUGUUCAGGCUCUUCACGAUGAGCAGAAAGUUGACCCUACUGAGUUCAAGGGCUCGGAUGCUGAGUUGGUCAUGCCGUGUUUGGCAAAUCCUCUUCCAGCUAAGGUCUUGCCUUCUGUUAUGCUUAACAAAGAGUGGCUGCCAAAUAUGCUCAGUCAAGCUAGAAGGUUUAGAGAAAGUAAGGGUAUUAUAAUAAACACAUUUGAAGAGCUGGAAUCUCAUGCGAUCGACUCCUUUUCUAUAGGUAAUAGCCCUCCGGUAUAUCCAGUGGGUCCCAUUUUAAACCUUAAUAGAGAUGGUGAUUGUGACGAGGAGUCUGAUAAAUACAAAGAUAUCAAGCAAUGGCUCGAUGAUCAGCCUCUAUCCUCGGUAGUGUAUCUAUGCUUCGGAAGCAUGGGGAGUUUCGGUGCGGAUCAAGUGAAGGAAAUUGCUUGUGCGCUAGAGCAGAGCGGCCAUCGAUUCUUGUGGUCUCUACGUAAACCACCACAGAAAGGUAAGAUGGAACCUCCAAGCGAUUACACUAAUCCUCGGGAUGCCUUACCUGAAGGAUUUUUGGAUCGGACGGCUAACAGUGGAAAAGUAAUUGGAUGGGCUCCACAGACAGAUAUUUUGGCCCAUCCAUCUGUAGGAGGGUUUGUAUCGCACUGUGGAUGGAACUCUAUAUUGGAAAGCAUAUGGUUUGGCGUUCCAAUUGCCGCGUGGCCAUUAUAUGCAGAGCAACAACUUAAUGCUUUUCAAAUAAUUGUGGAGUUAGGGUUGGGAGUGGAGAUUAAAAUGGAUUAUAGAAAGGACUUGUACUCGGAUGGUAAUGAAAAUGUCAUUAGUGCCGGGGAGAUCGAGAGAGGAGUGAGGUGUUUAAUGGAGCUUUGCGAUGAGAAGAGGGAGAGGUUGAAGGAGAUGAGUGGAAAGGGCAAGAAGGCUUUGGAGAACGGUGGAUCCUCGUUCACUUGGUUAGGUCGUUUCAUUCAAGAUACGGUGGAUCAACUGCCAUGAUUAAAUUGUACUCUCUUCAUCUUGUUUAAUACAAAGUCUUUCAGCUGAUAUGUUGUCUUUCUAUAAUAUAUAUGUAUUUCUCUGGUCUUUUUUUUUUAAUAUGAAUGUCAGAACCUUCUUUAUUAUUAUUAGUUCUCGUGAUUGAUUUGAAAACUGAUAUGAAAGAAGUUUAGGUCAUCAGUUGAUUCUAUAAUAAUUAUUUUUAUUAAAACAGUAUUUUUUUCUUUUAUUGAUUUGACGAGAGUCGAACAGAUUUGAUUGAUUUAAUAUUUUAACUGAUUUUAACUAAAAACUUUAAAUGUCGAAUUUCUAAAGGCCAAGCUGAUAAACUUCUAACAGACUACCAAACAUAUGUGGUGUGUGUGUGUGUGUGUGAAAUUAUUGUAAUUAAAAAAACAGUUGAAGAAGUAUUGUCAUAGAUUUCGGCAAACCUAGAAAACAUAGUAAAAUUACAUUUGAUUUGUACAUUGAAAUUAUCACUUUAGCUUUGUCAAGAAAAACUCAAUGCAAUUCAUUUUAAAGAUAUAAAAGUCUUUUUCAAUAUUAGAGACGAAAGGCCUCUCUUUUUUCAUAGUAAAAUUACAUAAUUAUUCUUAAAAAUAAAAAAAAAUAUUAAACUUAAUAUAGUAGUGUUUUAGUUUUUUUUUUUUCUCAACAUAGUAGUAGAAUGAUUUUAGUAUCUUAGAAAGCAAAAAUUACUAAACUUCUUUCAGGUUUUUUGUUUUAAUUUCAUUAAUUUUUUUUAAUAAUAAUCAAGUUGAUUUAGGACUAAUUUUAUAUUUUGAUAAAUAUAUAAUAUUAUUAAAAAAAUAAUGAUUUAACUGUGAUUAAUCCAUGGAAAUUAAAUCAAAUACAAAAAAAAAUUUAUAAAGGAUAAUAAAAUUAUGGUUGCCGAUGAGGGGAGGGUGUUUUAGAAUAUGGUAACGUUGCUUUUCAAAGUGUUUUUCGCUUAUAAAUUUAUUAAAAUAACAUAUAUAUCUUUUACUUUUGAAAAAUUAUUUUUGACAUUAACACAUUAAAACAAACAAAAAACAUAAACAAAAAAUUUUAAACAAAAAAAAAAUUUUUACCAAAAAAAAAAUUAAACCAUCCAGUCAAACACACCCAGAACAAAAUAAAGCAAGAAGAUGAAAGAGACGAGCAAAACAAGUCGAAAAGCUUUGAAUAAUGAAGGAUGUUCAUAUUCGUCAUUCAAUCGUCUAAUUGCAGACAUGAUGGAUAAUACACAUUCAAUAAAUUUUCUUUAACUUUAUUCCUUACUUAGCCUUGAUUUAAAAAAUGAACCCUGUAAGAAAGGGAAAAAAUUAAUUAAAUUCGAUUAAGGCUUAAUCCUCUUUUUUGUCACAGAUUUCCUCUUCUAUAUCUCAAAGAAUCGCUCUUCUCUUUCUCGCCGUGCAUCCAACAAUGAUAAAGGCACUUUCCCCUGCAACCCUUGACCUGCAAAAAUCAGCAAAAAAACCCCAUCAAUUUAAACAUUUGAUUUUUUUUUUUUUUUGGAAUGAGAGAAUCGCACGAACUUAACAAAAAAAACCUCAUCUUCCGAAAACAAAUCCCAAACGCAAACAUCAUUGCUGCUAUGUGGAGAGGGGAAAAAAAGUGAAAAAAAAUCAAGCAAUGCUCUCUCUCGGCAACAGAGAGGAGAGAAUAAGAUAAAACAAACAAGCUGUGGACAGGGGAGAGAGAAAGUGAACAAUUGACAAAGUAAUUGUAGUUGUAAGAAACCCACCAUUUCCUAAUGAGAUAUCCAUCUACAAAACACACCCGUCAGGAAGAAAAAAAUUGUAAUUGGCAAGACAUCAAGCCCACAUAGAAUAAGCCUGGUGCCUUGCAACAAAGACUAAGAAUUUUAUAUAUAUAUAUAUAUAUAUAUAUAUAUAUAUAUAUCAUAAAAAUGACAUCUUAGCAAUGAAAACUACAAUUAAAGUUGAUUCUGUUUUAAUUUUUUUUUGUUAACAAAAUUUAAUUUCUCCAAUAUUAUUGACAGGCAAUACUCAGCGGGUCAGGUUAAAUUUUGUUUAAUGUAAAAAAAUAUUUAAGCAUUGCUGCUUUUUCUAGUAGAAAAAAAUUGAUUCGAUGUAUCAAUGAUUUAAACCAAAACAUAGAUCUAGAUAAUAUAGAAUAUAGUUGUUAGACUCCGUUCACUAACAUAUUAAAAAAAAAUUUGAAUCCCCAAUUAUCAAGAUUAAUUUGUAUGUUACUAGCUUCCAUGUCAAUUAUUUUUAUUAAAAUAUCAGUAUUAUUUGGUUCUAGGCUUUUUUAAAAAAAACAAUUCUUAGUGUUGAUGUUUCUAGGUGAGUUAUUAACUAAGUUUUUGAAAAAAAUUAAAAUCACUACUUUUUCAAAUUAAUUUAUCAAAUCAUAUGAAGUCAAAUCAAGUUUAACCAUUAUAAUAUUAUGAUAUUUGAUUUUUUUUUCUUCAUUUAAAUUUCAAGAUUAGUGUUUAUUUUUUAAAAAAAAUACACCGAACUGAUAUAAAGAUAGAUUAUGUGUUUUUAAAGUUAUUCAAAACCUAAAUUUAAUCUUUAUUAACAUCAAUCUAUAUAUAUAUAUAUAUAAAAGCAUAGAAAAUUCAGCCCAUAAUAUGUAGUAAAAAACGUUGUCGUCUUCUACUUUGAAUUUCAUAAAAGAGAACUCAAUUUAAAUUUCUGACAGGGACGGCAUCCCAUUUUUUUGGGUCUUCUUGACGAAUUGUAAAAGCAGUCCACAAUCACAGCAAAGCCAUGACCUCACUCUUAUUCUUGUCCUGCUCGUAUAUAUUUUUGAACAAUAUAUUGCCAAUCUCAAGUCCACUAAUUACAGCCACAAACAGUGCCUUUAAAAAGGAUAUGAAAAUCAGUCUUUUACAUUCAACCCCACCUUGAAAUCCUCUAGCAAACAAAGAAAAAAAAAGGAGCUCAGUAGCAGAAUGAAGAAAGCUGAGCUGGUCUUCAUACCAACACCAGGUAUAAGCCACCUCGUAUCCACAGUAGAGGUAGCAAAGCUUCUUGUAGACCGUGAUGAGAGGCUUUCAAUCACCUUCCUCAUCAUGAAACUACGUUCUGACCCCAAGAUUGAUAGGUUUAUAAAUUCAGUGAGUACAGCCUGUAAUCGUAUCCGGUUCAUUGACUUGCCUAAAGAUGAGCCUGAUCCAAACCAACCCAGGAAGUUUCUCUUUUCUUUGAUUGAAGCCCAGAAACCCCAUGUCACAGAAGAAGUCUGUAAGCUUGUGAGUCAGUCGGAGUCAAGCCCUGACUCGCCUCCUCUUGCUGGGUUUGUUCUUGAUAUGUUUUGUACAUCUAUGAUAGAUGUGGCCAAUGAAUUUGGUGUUCCAUCAUAUAUUUUCCUUACGUCAGGUGCAGCUUUUCUUGGCCUUCAAUUUUAUGUUCAGGCUCUUCACGAUGACCGGAAAGUUGACCCUACUGAGUACAAGGGCUCGGAUGUUGAGUUGGUCAUGCCGUGUUUGGCAAAUCCUCUUCCAGCGAAGGUCUUGCCUUCUGUUAUGCUUAACAAAGAGUGGCUGCCAAAUAUGCUCAGUCAAGCUAGAAGGUUUAGAGAAACUAAGGGUAUUAUAAUAAACACAUUUGAAGAGCUGGAAUCUCAUGCGAUCAACUCCUUUUCUAAAGGUAAUAGCCCUCCGGUAUAUCCAGUGGGUCCCAUUUUAAACCUUAAUAGAGAUGGUGAUCGUGAGGAGGAGUCUGAUAAACGCAAAGACAUCAAGCAAUGGCUUGAUGAUCAGCCCCUGUCCUCAGUAGUGUAUCUAUGCUUCGGCAGCAUGGGGAGUUUCGGUGUGGAUCAGGUGAAGGAAAUCGCAUGUGGGCUAGAGCAGAGCGGCCACCGAUUCUUGUGGUCUCUACGUCAGCCACCACCGAAAGGUAAGAUAGAACCUCCAAGCGAUUACACUAAUCCUCGGGAGGUCUUACCUGAAGGAUUUUUGGAUCGGACGGCUAACAUUGGAAAAAUAAUUGGUUGGGCCCCACAGACAGAUAUUUUGGCCCAUCCAUCCGUACGAGGUUUUGUCUCCCACUGUGGAUGGAACUCUAUAUUGGAAAGCAUAUGGUUUGGCGUUCCAAUUGCCGCGUGGCCAUUAUAUGCAGAGCAACAACUGAAUGCCUUUCAAAUAAUUGUUGAGCUCGGAUUGGGAGUGGAGAUUAAAAUGGAUUAUAGAAGAGAGUUUAUCUCGGAUGGUAAU